UACGUAGGGGGCUAGCGUUGUCCGGAUUUAUUGGGCGUAAAGCGCGCGCAGGCGGUCCUUUAAGUCUGAUGUGAAAGCCCACGGCUCAACCGUGGAGGGUCAUUGGAAACUGGGGGACUUGAGUACAGAAGAGAAGAGUGGAAUUCCACGUGUAGCGGUGAAAUGCGCAGAUAUCGGGAGGAACACCAAUGGCGAAGGCAGCUUGCUGGGACGGUACUGACGCUGAGGCGCGAAAGCGUGGGGAGCAAACAGG
rnacentral:rRNA from 1 species